UGUGGGCCAGCAGGGAUACCCAUAGAUGAUUUGUGUUUUAGCUUAUGUCCCCCCAAUGGUUGUUAGUUAUGGUAGUUACUGUAUGGUAUUAUUGCAUGUGAUUGUAUUUAUUUUUCUUAUGUUUAGAUAAUUAUUUAUGCUAUUUCUGCGCAAGUUACUAAUGCUCUAUUAUUUUUGUUUUACAGCUGUUUUUCCUUUUAUCCUAUGCGCCGAGGGUCGAUUGGAAACAGCCUCUCUGCCAUUUCAAGUAUACUGGGUUGUUGUUGUUGUUGAUACACAUCUUUAACAACUGCUGCUUACUUUUCUGACUUUAGUGCCAUGCACGGACAAAUGCUGGAAAAUUUAUUUAAAUUAUGAUUGCUCCAUUCCUUUAGCAGUGUUUGAUUCAAGAUGUCGUUAAAAAAUAAAGAAAGAUUUUUUAAAUUUAUAGUAUUAAACAUAUUAUAAUACUUGUGUGGCUAUAUGAUAUUAUCUUUAAUGAUAAAAUGAGAAUAAACGUUAAGUUAUAUAUAUAUAUGUGCCAUGCACG
rnacentral:lncRNA from 1 species